rnacentral:rRNA from 1 species
UACAUGGGGUGCAAACGUUGCUCGGAAUUAUUGGGCGUAAAGCGCACGUAGGCGGUUCGUUAAGUCGGAUGUGAAAGCCCUCGGCUCAACUGAGGAAGUGCACCCGAAACUGGCGAGCUUGAGUACGAAAGAGGAUCGCGGAAUUCCCGGUGUAGAGGUGAAAUUCGUAGAUAUUGGGAAGAACACCGGUGGCGAAGGCGGCUCACUGGCUCAUUACUGACGCUCAGGCGCGAUAGCGUGGGGAUCAAACAGG